GAGAUGCGGCGGCGUCAAGGUUCUCCGGUCGCGGAAGCGCGCCGGAGCUAAGACGGGAAGCCGGUGCGGACCCCCUUUCAGGAUCAGGGUCCCAGGCCGGCGCUGCCCCCGCAACUGUAAGCGGCGAGCGGCGGUCCAUCAUGUGUCACUGGCGGUGCGAACCGCCGGGAAGGCCGGACCGACGCGACGACCCGCGAGCCAGGAGACCUGCCUUCGACGCCAUAACGUC
rnacentral:ncRNA from 2 species